AUAUAUCCCUUUUAUUUUCUUGAUCUGAGACAAAACCCUAAUCUCCUACAUCUUCUUGGUCGCUUCAUCUACAUAUUCACACCGAUCAUCCUCUUCAAUCGUACAGGCAAAUUGCGAUGGCAUUUGAUGGUCGCUUUCUUUGUUCGCGCGUGGGUUCUGAAUCUGGAAAGUUCGUUGCAGGAUUGAAGAUCCUUCAUUUUCUGCAUGUGCUGGG